AGUGAACGCUGGCGGUAGGCCUAACACAUGCAAGUCGAACGGCAGCACAGUAAGAGCUUGCUCUUACGGGUGGCGAGUGGCGGACGGGUGAGGAAUACAUCGGAAUCUACUUUUUCGUGGGGGAUAACGUAGGGAAACUUACGCUAAUACCGCAUACGACCUACGGGUGAAAGCAGGGGAUCUUCGGACCUUGCGCGAUUGAAUGAGCCGAUGUCGGAUUAGCUAGUUGGCGGGGUAAAGGCCCACCAAGGCGACGAUCCGUAGCUGGUCUGAGAGGAUGAUCAGCCACACUGGAACUGAGACACGGUCCAGACUCCUACAGGAGGCAGCAGUGGGGAAUAUUGGACAAUGGGCGCAAGCCUGAUCCAGCCAUACCGCGUGGGUGAAGAAGGCCUUCGGGUUGUAAAGCCCUUUUGCUGGGAAAGAAAAGCAGCAGGUUAAUACCCCGCUGUUCUGACGGUACCCAAAGAAUAAGCACCGGCUAACUUCGUG
rnacentral:rRNA from 1 species